rnacentral:sRNA from 2 species
AGUUAGCCCAGAUAGUAGUGAAAAGCUUUUUGCGGGCUGGUUGUAUUUUUUCUUGCAGGAAAAGAGCGACCAGAGGAAGCUCCUUUUUUUGCUUAGAAAAAAACAACUAGACAAAAAAACUUGAAACGAAUAGCUGGAUUGGCU